AAGACUAUACUUUCAGGGAUCAUUUCUAUAGUUUGUAACUAGAGAAGUUUCUCUGAUCGUGUAGAGUCCCGGAAACCACAAGGAAGAGCCGAGUGUUCUUUUCUGAGCGUGAAGUUGGCUCUUGGUGUUGCUUCGCUGCAAUUGCCUUUUGCCAUUGAUGACCGUUCUUAGUCUCUUCUUGAGAUUAAGGAGGAAAGAACACUGUCUGAGUGGUU
ensembl:snoRNA